AAGCAUAUUUCAAUCAGUCAAAAACACACAUCCUUAACAAUUCUUUGAGAUGUCAUGAAUAUUCUUAAAGUUGAAAUUCUAAGAACCAUCAGGUGUAUCGCCAAGGAGACUGGUAGACGACUUGGUAAGGGACAAACAUUUUCCCUUCUUCUUUGCUUGGUGUGCACAAGGAUUUAUCUAUAGCAACUUACUGUAUUUAAGAGUGCACAGAGAAAGCUAUGUGUUUGACAAAGUUUUCCUAGAUUACGAGUGAAGAACCAAUACGAGAAUUUUCC